rnacentral:sRNA from 1 species
UGUCCAUGUCGGUCAGUGUUUUGGUGUAAUCGUCACGGCAGACCAAGAAC